rnacentral:rRNA from 1 species
AUUGAGCGCUGGCGGCAUGCCUUACACAUGCAAGUCGAACGGUAACAGGUCUUCGGAUGCUGACGAGUGGCGAACGGGUGAGUAAUACAUCGGAACGUGCCCGAGAGUGGGGGAUAACGAGGCGAAAGCUUUGCUAAUACCGCAUACGAUCUCAGGAUGAAAGCAGGGGACCGCAAGGCCUUGCGCUCACGGAGCGGCCGAUGGCAGAUUAGGUAGUUGGUGGGAUAAAAGCUUACCAAGCCGACGAUCUGUAGCUGGUCUGAGAGGACGACCAGCCACACUGGGACUGAGACACGGCCCAGACUCCUACGGGAGGCAGCAGUGGGGAAUUUUGGACAAUGGGCGCAAGCCUGAUUCAGCCAUGCCGCGUGCAGGAUGAAGGCCUUCGGGUUGUAAACUGCUUUUAUACGGAACGAAAAGACUCCUUCUAAUAAAGGGGGUCCAUGACGGUACCGUAAGAAUAAGCACCGGCUAACUACGUGCCAGCCGCCGCCGUAACAC